rnacentral:rRNA from 1 species
UACGUAGGGAGCAAGCGUUAUCCGGAUUUACUGGGCGUAAAGCGCGCGCAGGCGGCUGGUCAAGUCCGAUGUGAAAGCUCCCGGCUUAACUGGGAAAUUGCAUCGGAAACUGAUCGGCUGGAAGGUGGGAGAGGGUAGCGGAAUUCCCGGUGUAGUGGUGAAAUGCGUAGAUAUCGGGAGGAACACCAGUGGCGAAAGCGGCUACCUGGCCCAUUCUUGACGCUGAGGCGCGAAAGCUAGGGGAGCAAACGGG